rnacentral:snoRNA from 1 species
AAAAAAAAACUCAGUGGGCCUUUUACUAGUGACCCAAUGAGCCAUCAAGAAGGGGCAGCGUGAAAACACCACCACUUUGGGUGAAGUAGCAACUUGUGUUGUUUUACUUCAAUAGGUGUGACAAGA